rnacentral:rRNA from 1 species
UACGGGGGGGGCAAGCGUUGUUCGGAAUUACUGGGCGUAAAGGGCUCGUAGGCGGCCAACUAAGUCAGACGUGAAAUCCCUCGGCUUAACCGGGGAACUGCGUCUGAUACUGGAUGGCUUGAAUCCGGGAGAGGGAUGCGGAAUUCCAGGUGUAGCGGUGAAAUGCGUAGAUAUCUGGAGGAGCACCGGUGGCGAAGGCGGCAUCCUGGACCGGCAUUGACGCUGAGGAGCGAAAGCCAGGGGAGCAAACGGG